ACAUGAUGACACCAAACUCAAAUAGCUGGAAUUACCGUCAGAAUUAUCUGUUGAGUCGUGGUUUUCUGAUU